rnacentral:rRNA from 1 species
UACAGAGGGGGCAAGCGUUAUUCGGAAUUAUUGGGCGUAAAGGGCGCGUAGGCGGCUUGGCAAGUGGAAGGUGAAAUCCCUCGGCUUAACCGAGGAACUGCCCUCCAAACUGCUUUGCUUGAGGCCGGGAGAGGUGAGUGGAAUUCCCAGUGUAGCGGUGAAAUGCGUAGAUAUCUGGAGGAACACCGGUGGCGAAGGCGGCAUCCUGGACCGGCAUUGACGCUGAGGCGCGAAAGCUAGGGGAGCAAACGGG